rnacentral:rRNA from 1 species
UUAAGCGACUAAGCGUACACGGUGGAUGCCCUGGCAGUCAGAGGCGAUGAAGGACGUGCUAAUCUGCGAUAAGCGUCGGUAAGGUGAUAUGAACCGUUAUAACCGGCGAUUUCCGAAUGGGGAAACCCAGUGUGAUUCGUCACACUAUCAUUAACUGAAUCCAUAGGUUAAUGAGGCGAACCGGGGGAACUGAAACAUCUAAGUACCCCGAGGAAAAGAAAUCAACCGAGAUUCCCCCAGUAGCGGCGAGCGAACGGGGAGCAGCCCAGAGCCUGAAUCAGUGUGUGUGUUAGUGGAAGCGUCUGGAAAGGCGCGCGAUACAGGGUGACAGCCCCGUACACAAAAAUGCAUAUACUGUGAGCUCGAUGAGUAGGGCGGGACACGUGGUAUCCUGUCUGAAUAUGGGGGGACCAUCCUCCAAGGCUAAAUACUCCUGACUGACCGAUAGUGAACCAGUACCGUGAGGGAAAGGCGAAAAGAACCCCGGCGAGGGGAGUGAAAAAGAACCUGAAACCGUGUACGUACAAGCAGUGGGAGCCUCUUUAUGGGGUGACUGCGUACCUUUUGUAUAAUGGGUCAGCGACUUAUAUUCUGUAGCAAGGUUAACCGAAUAGGGGAGCCGAAGGGAAACCGAGUCUUAACUGGGCGUUAAGUUGCAGGGUAUAGACCCGAAACCCGGUGAUCUAGCCAUGGGCAGGUUGAAGGUUGGGUAACACUAACUGGAGGACCGAACCGACUAAUGUUGAAAAAUUAGCGGAUGACUUGUGGCUGGGGGUGAAAGGCCAAUCAAACCGGGAGAUAGCUGGUUCUCCCCGAAAGCUAUUUAGGUAGCGCCUCGUGAAUUCAUCUCCGGGGGUAGAGCACUGUUUCGGCAAGGGGGUCAUCCCGACUUACCAACCCGAUGCAAACUGCGAAUACCGGAGAAUGUUAUCACGGGAGACACACGGCGGGUGCUAACGUCCGUCGUGAAGAGGGAAACAACCCAGACCGCCAGCUAAGGUCCCAAAGUCAUGGUUAAGUGGGAAACGAUGUGGGAAGGCCCAGACAGCCAGGAUGUUGGCUUAGAAGCAGCCAUCAUUUAAAGAAAGCGUAAUAGCUCACUGGUCGAGUCGGCCUGCGCGGAAGAUGUAACGGGGCUAAACCAUGCACCGAAGCUGCGGCAGCGACACUAUGUGUUGUUGGGUAGGGGAGCGUUCUGUAAGCCUGUGAAGGUGUGCUGUGAGGUAUGCUGGAGGUAUCAGAAGUGCGAAUGCUGACAUAAGUAACGAUAAAGCGGGUGAAAAGCCCGCUCGCCGGAAGACCAAGGGUUCCUGUCCAACGUUAAUCGGGGCAGGGUGAGUCGACCCCUAAGGCGAGGCCGAAAGGCGUAGUCGAUGGGAAACAGGUUAAUAUUCCUGUACUUGGUGUUACUGCGAAGGGGGGACGGAGAAGGCUAUGUUGGCCGGGCGACGGUUGUCCCGGUUUAAGCGUGUAGGCUGGUUUUCCAGGCAAAUCCGGAAAAUCAAGGCUGAGGCGUGAUGACGAGGCACUACGGUGCUGAAGCAACAAAUGCCCUGCUUCCAGGAAAAGCCUCUAAGCAUCAGGUAACAUCAAAUCGUACCCCAAACCGACACAGGUGGUCAGGUAGAGAAUACCAAGGCGCUUGAGAGAACUCGGGUGAAGGAACUAGGCAAAAUGGUGCCGUAACUUCGGGAGAAGGCACGCUGAUAUGUAGGUGAAGUCCCUUGCGGAUGGAGCUGAAAUCAGUCGAAGAUACCAGCUGGCUGCAACUGUUUAUUAAAAACACAGCACUGUGCAAACACGAAAGUGGACGUAUACGGUGUGACGCCUGCCCGGUGCCGGAAGGUUAAUUGAUGGGGUUAGCGGUAACGCGAAGCUCUUGAUCGAAGCCCCGGUAAACGGCGGCCGUAACUAUAACGGUCCUAAGGUAGCGAAAUUCCUUGUCGGGUAAGUUCCGACCUGCACGAAUGGCGUAAUGAUGGCCAGGCUGUCUCCACCCGAGACUCAGUGAAAUUGAACUCGCUGUGAAGAUGCAGUGUACCCGCGGCAAGACGGAAAGACCCCGUGAACCUUUACUAUAGCUUGACACUGAACAUUGAGCCUUGAUGUGUAGGAUAGGUGGGAGGCUUUGAAGUGUGGACGCCAGUCUGCAUGGAGCCGACCUUGAAAUACCACCCUUUAAUGUUUGAUGUUCUAACGUUGGCCCCUGAUCGGGGUUGCGGACAGUGUCUGGUGGGUAGUUUGACUGGGGCGGUCUCCUCCUAAAGAGUAACGGAGGAGCACGAAGGUUGGCUAAUCCUGGUCGGACAUCAGGAGGUUAGUGCAAUGGCAUAAGCCAGCUUGACUGCGAGCGUGACGGCGCGAGCAGGUGCGAAAGCAGGUCAUAGUGAUCCGGUGGUUCUGAAUGGAAGGGCCAUCGCUCAACGGAUAAAAGGUACUCCGGGGAUAACAGGCUGAUACCGCCCAAGAGUUCAUAUCGACGGCGGUGUUUGGCACCUCGAUGUCGGCUCAUCACAUCCUGGGGCUGAAGUAGGUCCCAAGGGUAUGGCUGUUCGCCAUUUAAAGUGGUACGCGAGCUGGGUUUAGAACGUCGUGAGACAGUUCGGUCCCUAUCUGCCGUGGGCGCUGGAGAACUGAGGGGGGCUGCUCCUAGUACGAGAGGACCGGAGUGGACGCAUCACUGGUGUUCGGGUUGUCAUGCCAAUGGCACUGCCCGGUAGCUAAAUGCGGAAGAGAUAAGUGCUGAAAGCAUCUAAGCACGAAACUUGCCCCGAGAUGAGUUCUCCCUGACUCCUUGAGAGUCCUGAAGGAACGUUGAAGACGACGACGUUGAUAGGCCGGGUGUGUAAGCGCAGCGAUGCGUUGAGCUAACCGGUACUAAUGAACCGUGAGGCUUAACCUU